AUUGAACGCUGGCGGCAUGCCUUACACAUGCAAGUCGAACGGUAACAGGUCUUCGGAUGCUGACGAGUGGCGAACGGGUGAGUAAUACAUCGGAACGUGCCUAGUAGUGGGGGAUAACUACUUGAAAGAGUGGCUAAUACCGCAUGAGAUCUACGGAUGAAAGCAGGGGAUCGAAAGACCUUGUGCUUCUAGAGCGUCGGAUGGCAGAUUAGGUAGUUGGUGGGAUAAAAGCUUACCAAGCCGACGAUCUGUAGCUGGUCUGAGAGGACGAUGAGCCACACUGGGACUGAGACACGGCCCAGACUCCUACGGGAGGCAGCAGUGGGGAAUUUUGGACAAUGGGCGAAAGCCUGAUCCAGCAAUGCCGCGUGCAGGAUGAAGGCCUUCGGGUUGUAAACUGCUUUUGUACGGAACGAAAAGCCCCGGGUUAAUACCCUGGGGUCAUGACGGUACCGUAAGAAUAAGCACCGGCUAACUACGUGCCAGCCGCCGCCGUAA
rnacentral:rRNA from 1 species